AUCUUGGUUUCUUAGGCUUGUUGACUGCUUGCACAAGUGGGACCUGGUAGCUCAGUGGGUAAUUUGUUGGUUUACAAAUCAGCAGGCCCCCACAAGGUUGGGGGCUCAAGGUUCUAGGUUCAUGGGCGAGCAGUGGGACUAAAUAAUCCUCUUCAAUGAACACAGACACUGGACAAUUUUCUACUUCUGACAAACAUGACAGUGGUGAAUCAUCUUCAGCUGUUAAUUCAAAUGUGAAGAUCAUGAUGCUGAAGAAGAAACUGAUGGUGGAAGCAGUUCACAGUGUGGCUGGUUUGAAUGAGGAGACAAGCACUUACAAAACACCAUCUUUAGCACUGAAGCUUGGGCACAACCUCAAGAAGAUGGCAAAUAUUAUUGAAUGUGAGGUGAUAAAAACACCUUUAGCAAUGUGCAAGCCUUCAAACAAAUCUGUGAAACUAAAUGGAGUGAGUGUGUCUCAUCCCAGGUUCUCUGAAAUUUAAGCAAGGCAAAGUGGACCUCUCUGCAACUUCUUCCCUUUGCUGAAGAAAAAAAAAUCCAUCAGUAUCUUGACAGACAGAGUAACGAGAGCCAAACUAAACUUGGAAAAGAUCCAAGUAACAAGCACUGGGCAGAAGUUGCAAAAGUGACACUCUGUCAGGUGAUUGUGUUCAAUCGUAGAAGGGAAGGAGAGGUAUCCAAGCUGUCCCUUACUGCCUUCACACUGAGGGACACCUCACUGACUCAUCCAGAUGUAGCGCUCGCUCUGACAAACCUUUAAAAGAAACUGUGUAAGCACUUCCAGAGAACUGAGAUAAAAGGCAAAGUUGUAGUUGUUUCCCCGUUGCUGACUUUUCAGGACACAACAUCAGGGUGCAUCAGCAGUACUCCAGGCUACCUGAAGGUACAUUACAGCUGGUGAAGAUAAGUAAAUUCUUCUAGCCAUGGAGAGAGGACAACUAUCUCAAUUCAAAGGAAGGAAUCUAGAUGAGAUCCAGACUGAUCCACAAGAUAAAACAGGCCUGAAGAGAUUCUGAUGGACAGUGAAGGAUCAGACUCUGAAAACGAGAAUGAAAACGAUGCUUCACCUCCACCCUCAAAUUCUGCAGGAUCUUCACAAAACCCACAGAGAAAGUGGUCUACAGAGGAGAUCCAGGCUGUGGAAAAGACUCUAAUGGACUACAUCAGUUCUGGCGAGGUUCCUGGUAAAGGCUAGUGCAUGGAGUACAUUGAAAAAUCCCCAGCAGCACUUUAAGGGAGAGGUUUGGGAGAGGUUUGGGAGAAGUUGGG